ACCAAGGCUUUUGAUUCCAUGUCAUGGGGAUAUCUAUUUGAAGUCAUGGAGGUCAUGUGGUUUGGGCAAAGAUGGAGGGACGUGAUUGCUUUGAUCUUGGCAUCCUCCUCCUCUAGAAUUCUGUUGAAUGGAACACCUGGCUCAUCAUUUGCUCACAUGCGUGGCCUGAGGCAGAGAGACCCUCUGUCCCCCCUGUUGUUUAUCAUUGCUAUGGAACCGUUGCAGAGACUGCUUGAGAUGGCCACGUAG
rnacentral:rRNA from 1 species